GAUAACAUUUGCUUUGGGUCAAAGCUAAUUGUAGAUUGCAGUAUGGAUGGUUGAAGCAGAACAGUGUGCAUUGACAGUCCUUCCUCCUCUGUUUGUCAUCUAUUUAUAAUAUAAUCUUUGAACAACAAUAGCUCAUAUAAUUUAUCUUUAUUAUAAUUGGAUUGUGACAUUCAGAACAACAAGAGCAACACUGAAGCAUCCAUUUUGGUGACUGGUUUAAGAAGCCCAUGACAAGGCACCCACACCUGGAUAUUUGCUUAUCUUUUCAACGGGGGACAAACAGACAACAGACAUUUCACUUGAGCCAGUCCCUGUUAUGGAGUCUUCAAAAAGUGGACCAGCAUGUGGAGUCUUUGAAAAAGGCUUCAUCCACAUUGUUAGUCACACUGUGUUGUAUGCUGGAAACUCUGAAAGUAAUAGAAAAUAAUGGCCUAAAUGGUCUCACUCUAUUCUUUCUUUCUCCCCCUCUGGGUUCUAGUCUAGUGAGAAGAUGAUGUGUUCUCCUAUGAAAGCUCAGAUCUGGACUGGUGUGAGGCGAACUACAGGCACUCUGAAGUACACUAUGAGCAGUCUGUUUGUCUUCGUGAUCUCCCCCAUCAUGCUGUACCUGCUGCACACUUACGCCAGGGAAGUACCUGUACCUGGUCUGGAUCAUGAUGGUCUUUGUGGGUGUGUGUCCACUCUUCUCUCCAAACACCAGGACAACCUUCAUGAAGUUAUAACUCCACUCCCAAGGUGCCCUCAUCGGUCUGCUUUAGAUACUGGGUAGGGCCGGGCCUAGGGGCCAUUUAGGAAUUGGGCAUCAAUGUGUGUCCCCUCCCUAAAGGUCUCUUCUCUGCCUACUUCCACAUGACCCUGAGCUUCAUGGCCAGAUGCUGGAUGAGCAGUCCAUCCUGUGGGUGCUGGGGCUCUGCUGGGGCUCUGCUACGCCCUCUGGUAUUCCCAUGCUUCAUCAAUGACAGAUUGGCCACCAUAACACCUGCUCAAGGCUUCUGCAGCCAAAUCAUUAUCUGUGAAUACUGGAAGUAGCAUAUACCGUGUUUCACCUUCCUGUCUCUAUUCAAUGUAACCAUGGGGCAGCGUCCAUGUGUGUUUAGAUCUCCCUGCUACAGGAUCAUGCGGUUGUUCUCUCUAUAUGGAACAAACGGCAAUACAUACUGUAGGCUGUUAAUAAGGCAGGAGACAAUGACAGGAUCUUUUUACAGGGCAUGCCAGGUUGAAACAGAAGCCAUGCUAAGCCAGGAGCCUGACAACCAGGCCAGGAGCAGCCUGUAGUAUGCUAUAUUCACCAGCCAGUCGGAGAGAGGGGCUUCCUAGCUUUCUGAAUGACUCUCCCAUUAACACUGUUUUAAUAUUAAAGUAAAGGGUGGAAAAAGAUUAUUGCAAUAUUAAUGAGAGUGUGAACAUAAUCCCAAUUGAACUAUGAAAAGGGCCCACCCUGUGCUCCUUUGUCAAACCCACUGACAACGCCUACAUCCUCAACUGCCUUGCCCUCUACAUCACCUACUCAUUGGGUCUGGAGAUGAGGAUGUAAGGCAAUAAGUCUCAUUAUUGUACUGUACAUUACUGUCAAGUGCACAUUCUAUCACUCCAUCAGUUCACUGUCUGAUAACUGCUUUCUGUUCCUCUCUCGCUCAUGCCCUCACUCUCUCUGUUUAUCGCUCUGCUUUAUUUUCCCCACUCACAGCUGUACUGACCAAUAGGUGCUAUGGUUAUGCUGGUCUGGUGUUGGCCUGUGGGGGAUGGCAAUCAUCUACUGGAUCAAUGACUGUUUCGGAUGCAUCCUCUGGCAAAAGCUCAACUUGUGCUAUCUGCAUGGCAUCUGGUAAAAGCACAUUCUGAUUGUGACCGCUGUAGCCUACCCAAGCACCCUGAUAGCCUACUUGGAUGCCAACUAUGAGAUGCCAGGCCUUCAGUACUGGCCCAGUGAUAACUGUGUCCUGGGCUUGCCUUACAUCGUCCUGAAAGGAACCACCAAGACUCAGAAAAGAUGUUAGAGAACGUUCAACUUCUCCAAGAGACAACCUGAUGGCUUUGGUGAUGAAAUGUGCUAUGUAGUGCCGUGCAAGGAAAAGUGUCAAAUGCAGUGCCUUUCUUUUUACUUAGCAGUGACUCCGUUUUGAGAAAUGGUUGCAAUUCAUAAGAUUGCUCCUUAUUUGAUAUGAUAACAGAAUCAAUGCCACUCAGGUCAUCAAGUCCGAUGUUUGCAUAUUAUGUUUAGUGUGCACAUGUUAAAGAAUUAAACAAUAAUUAAUGUGUGUAUGUUUUUAUAUGCAUUUUGUGGGAAUUGAUCAAUGCACUCAUCUGUUAUUUGCGUCCAUAUAUGCAUGGAUAUUCUCUCCACAUGUUUUUAUAAAACAAUUUUGUGUAUAUCUGUGUUUCGGUAUAAUAACAUGCUUGUCUUUGUAGUGAUGAGAAUGGAGAUUAUUUCAACCCCCAAAAUACAGCUUUGCUUAGAUGUAGGGCUGAAUCACAACCACAACAUUUUAGGGGUAAAGGGCUUGUAGAGUUUGCUUAUAUAACCUACAACUUUACAUUUGUCAUCCUUUUCAGGGAUAAUAUCAUUAUGUGUGAUCUGAACUAAACUAAGUUUAAGACAUUUUAUACAACCACAUAAACAUAAAUGUUUGUCUUGGUUUAGAGAUCUUAAGACGUAAGUAUUUUAUGAUGUUAUUACAGAAAAUGUAAGGACCAUGUCAAUGUUUGUUAUGUGUGGGAUUCUACAUCUAUGAGAUCAAUUAAAUGUGUAUAUGAAUAAGAUUAACGGUUACUGAAUUAAAUUCUAUGAUGAAUUUGAGACGUUUCUAAAUAUACAGAAAAAAUAUAUAAACCCAACAUGUAAAGUGUU